UAUAUAUUUUUUUAUCUUACAGCGUUCCCAUUAGUCCUCAUGGGCAUGCUUAUGGGCUAAUACAGCCCUCAAAAUCACCUUCUGGCAUUGAAAAUUCUGCCUUGGGGCUUCUAAAGCACUGGUGUGACCAGAGAGUGUACCUCCAAACUCAGGGAUUUUUGCCAGUUUUGAUAAAUAAAGAAGUUCCAGUUUGAUUUGAUGAAAUUGGUUCUUGGAUCCAAGUUGGAAUGCAAGUUGGGAGCCAGUUGUGGAAUUUUCCAUCAUAACAUUUCCUGUGGAUACAAAGUGAACUGAAACCCAACCCAGGAAACAAGCAUAAAAUGUGCCAACGAGUUUAGAUUCACUAAAUUUUAUCUGCCACUCCUGAGGAAGGUCUAUUUAUCUGUCAUGUUGUUAUUUGGACAAUCAAAGUUAUUGCAGUAAAUUUUGAGACCUCUGUGAUGCAACAUAACUGGGGACUGAGAGAUACUUCACAAUGUGAGAAGCACAUGGACUAGAUGACAAAUGCUUUGGAGAAAAAUUCUCAUGAAUCCAGAUCAUGCCAAUUUCCAGUGGACCUGUGUCUUCAAAACCCAAAUCAUUCUACUUGCUAGUAAUCAACUAGAAAGACCUUGUGGUUUUCUUGUUGAGUUUGGUAGGAAAAUGGGAUGUUGUGGGACUUUGAUAUUAAUCUUCUUGGCCUGCAUUUACUCAGUGAUGCUCCCAGCAGCUGGAAGACCCUCCCAGUGAGAAGCCCAGAAGAUGUAGUGCCUUCAAGUCUUCAAAGCAGUUAGGAGGGAAAACUUGUUCCUUUUUAGGUGGUUUCUUUCCUUCAAGCGGCCUUAUAAUUUGCCACUCUCCUCUCCCUACACUCUUUACCUGCUGCUUUCAGUCAGUGAAGAACAGUUCAGCCUUGGAAUUGCCCAGGAUUUCGGAACUCCCUAGGGGGACAGGACAGAAAACUGUGCGACUGUGACGUAUACAUUCAUCCAACAAAUAUUUGUUGAGCCCCUACUAUGUGAUAGGGAUGGGAUGGUGAAAAAAUAUAGACAUGGUCCUUGUUUUACUUUGAAUCUGGGGUCAGAUCUCCACCUCACCAAUUGUCUGUGUGAGCUUGGUAAGAUACUUCAUUUCUAGGGUUUCCCUUUCAUCCUCUGUAUAAGGUUGUUGAGGAAAUUAAAUAAGAUAAUCUACUUGAAUGGCUUUUUGCAUACUAAAUGCUUAAUCAGCCCAACACACACACACACACACACACAC
rnacentral:lncRNA from 10 species